rnacentral:misc_RNA from 1 species
CCGAGUUUACAACUCCCAAACCCCUGUGAACAUACCACUUGUUGCCUCGGCGGAUCAGCCCGCUCCCGGUAAAACGGGACGGCCCGCCAGAGGACCCCUAAACUCUGUUUCUAUAUGUAACUUCUGAAUAAAACCAUAAAUAAAUCA